UACGUAGGGGGCAAGCGUUGUCCGGAAUCAUUGGGCGUAAAGAGCGCGUAGGCGGCCCUGUAAGUCCGCUGUGAAAGUCAAGGGCUCAACCCUUGGAUGCCGGUGGAUACUGCAGGGCUAGAGUCCGGGAAGAGGCGAGUGGAAUUCCUGGUGUAGCGGUGAAAAUGCGCAGAUAUCAGGAGGAACACCAAUGGCGAAGGCAGCUCGCUGGGACGU
rnacentral:rRNA from 1 species